rnacentral:rRNA from 1 species
AUGCAUUUAAGUAACAAUAAAAUGAGGUUUAGUUUCGGUUGUUGUACACUUGGUGUCCUCCGUUACUCUCAUCUAGUUUGCUACUGCAUCCAUCAUCCAUGUUAUAAUUUUCAAAGUAAGAUCAUAAUGAUAGUGCACUUUUUUGUCAGCCUUCAAGAUGCUCAAGGACCAGGACAACAUGUAGUUUCAGAAUUACAGAUUGUGGUCAGCUAUAGGAUGUUUCUGGGACAAUGUUUUAGCUACGAGAGAGCAACAACAUCACAUCAUGAGAGAGAGGAUGCAGUAUCAACAAUUCAGGAGAAAGAUCAGAGCAGAGUGGAAGUAAAUAUGUUUUGA